rnacentral:rRNA from 1 species
UGCGCAGGCGGUUUUGUAAGUCAGAUGUGAAAUCCCCGGGCUCAACCUGGGAACUGCGUUUGAAACUACAAGGCUAGAGUAUGGCAGAGGGGGGUAGAAUUCCACGUGUAGCAGUGAAAUGCGUAGAGAUGUGGAGGAAUACCAAUGGCGAAGGCAGCCCCCUGGGUCAAUACUGACGCUCAUGCACGAAAGCGUGGGGAGCAAACAGGAUUAGAUACCCUGGUAGUCCACGCCCUAAACGAUGUCUACUAGUUGUUGGUGGAGUAAAAUCCAUUAGUAACGCAGCUAACGCGUGAAGUAGACCGCCUGGGGAGUACGGUCGCAAGAUUAAA